UUCUGUGAUCAGCACAGAACACACACACACCUCACCAUGGAGUUUGUGCUGGGCUGGGUUUUCCUGGUUGCUCUUUUAAAAGGUGUCCAGUGUGACGUGCAGCUGGUGGAGUCUGGGGGAGACCUGGUGAAGCCUGGGGGGUCCCUGAGACUCACCUGUGUAGCCUCUGGAUUCACCUUCAGUAGCUAUGAAAUGAACUGGGUCCGCCAGGCUCCAGGGAAGGGGCUGCAGUGGGUCGCAUAUAUUAGUAGCAGUGGAGGUAGCACAUACUACGCAGACUCCGUGAAGGGCCGAUUCACCAUCUCCAGAGACAACUCCAAGAACACGCUGUAUCUGCAGAUGAACAACCUCAAGACCGAGGACACGGCCACAUAUUACUGUGCAAGAGACACAGGGCGGCUGGGAACUCCAACUGCAGGGACUAGAGGGGGAGUUGAUGCCAAUAUUUCCUCCCACCAAUCAUCAUGGACAGAGGUCAGUGAGCAGCACAGCACACCCCAGUAG